GCUCCCUGGGCUAGUGGUUAAAGACAUCCGAAUAGCACUUUGAAAUCCUAGGUUCGAUUCUCGGUGGGAGUA